rnacentral:miRNA from 1 species
UGGUAAGCCAUCUCUCCAGCCCUUGAAAUAACUUUAAAAGAAACUUGUUCAGGGCUGGAGAGAUGGCUCAACAGU